GACGAACGCUGGCGGCGUGCUUAACACAUGCAAGUCGAACGGAAAGGCCUUUUCGGAGGUACUCGAGUGGCGAACGGGUGAGUAACACGUGGGUGAUCUGCCCUGCACUCUGGGAUAAGCCUGGGAAACUGGGUCUAAUACCGGAUAGGACCGCACUUUAGUGUGUGUGGUGGAAAGUUUUUUCGGUGUAGGAUGAGCCCGCGGCCUAUCAGCUUGUUGGUGGGGUAAUGGCCUACCAAGGCGGCGACGGGUAGCCGGACUGAGAGGUUGGUCGGCCACAUUGGGACUGAGAUACGGCCCAGACUCCUACGGGAGGCAGCAGUGGGGAAUAUUGCACAAUGGGCGCAAGCCUGAUGCAGCGACGCCGCGUGGGGGAUGACGGCCUUCGGGUUGUAAACUCCUUUCGCCAGGGACGAAGCGUUUUGUGACGGCACCUGGAGAAGAAGCACCGGCUAACUACGUG
rnacentral:rRNA from 1 species